rnacentral:rRNA from 1 species
GACGAACGCUGGCGACGUGCCUAAUGCAUGCAAGUCGAACGCAGGGUGCUUGCACCGCUGCGUGGCGCACGGCUGAGGAACACGUGGGUAUCAACCUCGGGGUGGGGGAUACCCCGUCGAAAGACGGGACAAUCCCGCAUACGGUCGCAAGACGAAAGCCUUCGGGCGCCCUGAGACGAGCCUGCGGCCCAUCAGGUAGUUGGUGAGGUAAUGGCUCACCAAGCCGGUGACGGGUCCCUGGUCUGAGAGGACGACCAGGCAGACUGGGACUGAGACACGGCCCAGACUCCUACGGGAGGCAGCAGCAAGGAAUUUUCCCCAAUGGGCGCAAGCCUGAGGGAGCAACGUCGCGUGGAGGAAGACGGCCUUCGGGUUGUAAACUCCUUUUGGGGGGGAAGAUACUGACGGUACCCCCCGAAUAAGCCCCGGCUAACUCCGUGCCAGCCGCCGCGGUAAAAC